GAUGAACGCUGGCGGCGUGCCUAAUACAUGCAAGUCGAGCGAACAGAUGAGGAGCUUGCUCCUCUGACGUUAGCGGCGGACGGGUGAGUAACACGUGGAUAACCUACCUAUAAGACUGGGAUAACUUCGGGAAACCGGAGCUAAUACCGGAUAAUAUAUUGAACCGCAUGGUUCAAUAGUGAAAGACGGUUUUGCUGUCACUUAUAGAUGGAUCCGCGCCGCAUUAGCUAGUUGGUAAGGUAACGGCUUACCAAGGCGACGAUGCGUAGCCGACCUGAGAGGGUGAUCGGCCACACUGGAACUGAGACACGGUCCAGACUCCUACGGGAGGCAGCAGUAGGGAAUCUUCCGCAAUGGGCGAAAGCCUGACGGAGCAACGCCGCGUGAGUGAUGAAGGUUUUCGGAUCGUAAAACUCUGUUAUUAGGGAAGAACAAAUGUGUAAGUUACUAUGCACGUCUUGACGGUACCUAAUCAGAAAGCCACGGCUAACUACGUG
rnacentral:rRNA from 1 species